UACGGAGGGGGCGAGCGUUAUCCGGAAUCACUGGGCGUAAAGGGUGCGUAGGCGGGUCUUUAAGUCAGGGGUGAAAUCCUGGAGCUCAACUCCAGAACUGCCUUUGAUACUGAAGAUCUUGAGUUCGGGAGAGGUGAGUGGAACUGCGAGUGUAGAGGUGAAAUUCGUAGAUAUUCGCAAGAACACCAGUGGCGAAGGCGGCUCACUGGCCCGAUACUGACGCUGAGGCACGAAAGCGUGGGGAGCAAACAGGG
rnacentral:rRNA from 1 species